rnacentral:rRNA from 1 species
CUUCCGCCGGCGACCGGCGCACGGGUGAGUAACACGUAUGCAACCUGCCCCUGUCAGGGGGACAACCCGCCGAAAGGCGGGCUAAACCCGCGUACAUGCCACCGGGGCAUCCCGGAGGCAGGAAAGGCUUCGGCCGGAUAGGGAUGGGCAUGCGGCGCAUUAGGCAGUAGGCGGGGUAACGGCCCACCUAACCGACGAUGCGUAGGGGUUCUGAGAGGAAGGUCCCCCACCACUGGUACUGAGACACGGACCAGACUCCUACGGGAGGCAGCAG